AGUCGAACGGCAGCGCGGGGCAACCUGGCGGCGAGUGGCGAACGGGUGAGUAAUAUAUCGGAACGUACCCAAGAGUGGGGGAUAACGUAGCGAAAGUUACGCUAAUACCGCAUACGAUCUAAGGAUGAAAGCAGGGGAUCUUCGGACCUUGUGCUCCUGGAGCGGCCGAUAUCUGAUUAGCUAGUUGGUGAGGUAAAGGCUCACCAAGGCCACGAUCAGUAGCUGGUCUGAGAGGACGACCAGCCACACUGGAACUGAGACACGGUCCAGACUCCUACGGGAGGCAGCAGUGGGGAAUUUUGGACAAUGGGCGAAAGCCUGAUCCAGCAAUGCCGCGUGAGUGAAGAAGGCCUUCGGGUUGUAAAGCUCUUUUGUCAGGGAAGAAACGGUGAGGGCUAAUAUUCUUCGCUAAUGACGGUACCUGAAGAAUAAGCACCGGCUAACUACGUGCCAGCAGCCGCGGUAAUACGUAGGGUGCAAGCGUUAAUCGGAAUUACUGGGCGUAAAGCGUGCGCAGGCGGUUUUGUAAGUCUGACGUGAAAUCCCCGGGCUCAACCUGGGAAUUGCGUUGGAGACUGCAAGGCUAGAAUCUGGCAGAGGGGGGUAGAAUUCCACGUGUAGCAGUGAAAUGCGUAGAGAUGUGGAGGAACACCGAUGGCGAAGGCAGCCCCCUGGGUCAAGAUUGACGCUCAUGCACGAAAGCGUGGGGAGCAAACAGGAUUAGAUACCCUGGUAGUCCACGCCCUAAACGAUGUCUACUAGUUGUCGGGUUUUAAUUAACUUGGUAACGCAGCUAACGCGUGAAGUAGACCGCCUGGGGAGUACGGUCGCAAGAUUAAAACUCAAAGGAAUUGAC
rnacentral:rRNA from 1 species